UGGGCGAAAGCCUGAUGCAGCGACGCCGCGUGAGGGAUGACGGCCUUCGGGUUGUAAACCUCUUUCGACAGGGACGAAGCGCAAGUGACGGUACCUGGAGAAGAAGCACCGGCCAACUACGUGCCAGCAGCCGCGGUAAGACGUAGGGUGCAAGCGUUGUCCGGAUUUAUUGGGCGUAAAGAGCUCGUAGGCGGUUCGUUGCGUCAGCUGUGAAAACCCGCAGCUUAACUGUGGGCCUGCAGCUGAUACGGGCGGACUGGAGUUCGGUAGGGGAGACUGGAAUUCCUGGUGUAGCGGUGAAAUGCGCAGAUAUCAGGAGGAACACCGGUGGCGAAGGCGGGUCUCUGGGCCGAUACUGACGCUGAGGAGCGAAAGCGUGGGGAGCGAACA
rnacentral:rRNA from 1 species